rnacentral:tRNA from 1 species
UAACUCAGUCGGUAAAGAAUCUGCCUGCAAUGCAGGAGACCCAGGUUCGAUCCCUGG